rnacentral:rRNA from 1 species
GACGAACGCUGGCGGCGUGCUUAACACAUGCAAGUCGAACGAAGCUUGAUUACGGAUUCUUCGGAUGAAGUAUGAUAUGACUGAGUGGCGGACGGGUGAGUAACGCGUGAGUAACCUGCCCUUCAGAGGGGGAUAGCGUUUGGAAACGAACGGUAAUACCGCAUAAUGUAUUUUGACCGCAUGAUCGAAAUACCAAAGAUUUAUCGCUGAAGGAUGGACUCGCGUCUGAUUAGGUAGUUGGUGGGGUAACGGCCUACCAAGCCGACGAUCAGUAGCCGGACUGAGAGGUUGAUCGGCCACAUUGGGACUGAGACACGGCCCAGACUCCUACGGGAGGCAGCAGUGGGGAAUAUUGCACAAUGGGCGCAAGCCUGAUGCAGCAACGCCGCGUGAAGGAAGACGGUUUUCGGAUUGGAAACUUCUGUUCUUAGUGAAGAAUAAUGACGGUAGCUAAGGAGCAAGCCACGGCUAACUACGUG